ACACGUGAUUCAGAGUUUGAUCCUGGCUCAGGAUGAACGCUAGCGGCAGGCUUAACACAUGCAAGUCGAGGGGUAUAGUAGCAAUACUAGAGACCGGCGCACGGGUGCGUAACGCGUAUGCAAUCUACCUUUUACAGAGGGAUAGCCCAGAGAAAUUUGGAUUAAUACCUCAUAGUAUAGCUGAACCGCAUGGUUCUACUAUUAAAGUCACAACGGUAAAAGAUGAGCAUGCGUCCCAUUAGCUAGUUGGUAAGGUAACGGCUUACCAAGGCAACGAUGGGUAGGGGUCCUGAGAGGGAGAUCCCCCACACUGGUACUGAGACACGGACCAG
rnacentral:rRNA from 1 species